GGUGGAGCGAUCUGUCUGGUUAAUUCCGAUAACGAACGAGACUCUCCCCUGCUAAACGGUAAUUUGGUUACGUGUAGACGCGGCAAUCUACUCAUUAGUUGCCCGUUCUGUCGGUGUCCUGAGGCUCACGCAAGUGUUGUCGAAGGCGCCCUGGAAAUUCUUCUUAGAGGGAUCGACGGCAUCAAAGCCGCAAGAGACUGAGUGCAAUAACAGGUCUGUCAUGCCCUUAGAUGUCCUGGGCCGCACGCGGGCGACAAUGCCUGGCGCAAUGAGUCUUAUGCUAGAUCAGAGGCCUCACGGUCUCUGGUCGGGUUCCUGCUCCGACAGGAGUGGGUAACCAUCAACGCCAGUCUCGGUAGCUGCACCAUCGAGUGUGCUACCAAGGCUCGGUUGGGAUUGUGGAUUGAAAGUGUUUCUCACGAACAAGGAAUUCCUUGUACUCGCCGAUCACCGAGUCGGCAGAGAAUAAGUCCCUGCCCUUUGUACACACCGCCCGUCGCUACUACCGAUUGGGUGUACCAGUGAGAUCUUUGGACUGGCGAGCUCUAGCUCUUCGGAGCUGGAUGCCAACGACGGAAAGGGGCUCGAACUGGUGCACUUAGAGGAAGUAAAAGUCGUAACAAGGUUUCCGUAGGUGAACCUGCGGAAGGAUCAUUA
rnacentral:rRNA from 1 species